UACCUUGUUGCUUCGGCGGGCCCGCCGUUUCGACGGCCGCCGGGGAGGCCUUGCGCCCCCGGGCCCGCGCCCGCCGAAGACCCCAACAUGAACGCUGUUCUGAAAGUAUGCAGUCUGAGUUGAUUAUCGUAAUCAGUUAAAACUUUCAACAACGGAUCUCUUGGUUCCGGCAUCGAUGAAGAACGCAGCGAAAUGCGAUAAGUAAUGUGAAUUGCAGAAUUCAGUGAAUCAUCGAGUCUUUGAACGCACAUUGCGCCCCCUGGUAUUCCGGGGGGCAUGCCUGUCCGAGCGUCAUUGCUGCCCUCAAGCACGGCUUGUGUGUUGGGCCCCCGUCCCCCUCUCCCGGGGGACGGGCCCGAAAGGCAGCGGCGGCACCGCGUCCGGUCCUCGAGCGUAUGGGGCUUUGUCACCUGCUCUGUAGGCCCGGCCGGCGCCAGCCGACACCCAACUUUAUUUUUCUAAGGUUGACCUCGGAUCAGGUAGGGAUACCCGCUGAACUUAAGCAUA
rnacentral:rRNA from 1 species